GACGAACGCUGGCGGCAUGCCUAAUACAUGCAAGUCGAACGAAGUUAUGCGAGAAGCUUGCUUUUCAAUUAGCUUAGUGGCGGACGGGUGAGUAACACGUAGGCAACCUGCCUGUAAGCCGGGGAUAACUCACGGAAACGUGAGCUAAGACUGGAUAGUCGAGAGGAAGGCAUCUUCUUCUUGGGAAAGACGGAGCAAUCUGUCGCUUACAGAUGGGCCUGCGGCGCAUUAGCUAGUUGGUGAGGUAACGGCUCACCAAGGCGACGAUGCGUAGCCGACCUGAGAGGGUGAACGGCCACACUGGGACGUGAGACACGGCCCAGACUCCUACGGGAGGCAGCAGUAGGGAAUCUUCGGCAAUGGACGCAAGUCUGACCGAGCAAUGCCGCGUGAGUGAGGAAGGCCCUCGGGUCGUAAAGCUCGUGUUACCAGGGAAGAACGCUUGCGAGAGUAACGUGCUCGUAAGGUGACGGUACCUGAGAAGAAAGCCCCGCUAACU
rnacentral:rRNA from 1 species